GGAUUGUAGGCUGCAACCCGCCUACAUGAAGUUGGAAUUGCUAGUAAUCGCAGAUCAGAAUGCUGCGGUGAAUACGUUCCCGGGCCUUGUACACACCGCCCGUCACACCAUGGGAGCCGGUAAUACCCGAAGUCAGUAGUCUAACCGCAAGGGGGACGCUGCCGAAGGUAGGAUUGGCGACUGGGGUGAAGUCGUAACAAGGUAUC
rnacentral:rRNA from 1 species